rfam:Salmo salar isolate Sally breed double haploid chromosome ssa18, whole genome shotgun sequence.
GUAGCUCAGUUGGUAGAGCAUGGCACUUGCAACGACAGGGUUGUGGGUUUGAUUCCCACC